rnacentral:rRNA from 1 species
AAGGCGAUGAAGGACGUAAUAACUUGCGAUAAGCUUCGGGGAGUUAGUAAAUAAGCUUUGAUCCGAAGAUUUCCGAAUGGGGAAACCCAUCCUUUCGAGGAUAUCAUUAUCUGAAUUCAUAGGGUAAUGAAGCNAACCUGGNGAACUGAAACAUCUAAGUANCCAGAGGAAAAGAAAUCAACCGAGAUUCCGUNAGUAGCGGCGAGCGAAANCGGAUCAGCCCNGUUAUCAUCAAGCAUGAUCAGUUNUUAGNNGAAUNGUAUGGAAAGACNNACCAUAGUNGGUGAUAGUCCUGUANNCGAANNCAANNGUUNUGUGGGUAACGANGAGUAGGUCGGGACACGNGAAAUCUUGACUGAANAUGGGGGGACCAUCCUCCAAGGCUAAAUACUCUNUANUGACCGAUAGUGAACUAGUACCGUGAGGGAAAGGUGAAAAGAACCCCUGUUAGGGGAGUGAAAUAGACUCUGAAACCGUGUGCAUACAAGCAGUAGGAGCAUGCUAGUCAUGUGACUGCGUACCUUUUGUAUAAUGGGUCAGCGACUUACUUACAGUGGCAAGCUUAACCGAAUAGGGGAGGCGUAGAGAAACCGAGUCCGAAUAGGGCGUCAAGUCGCUGUGAGUAGACCCGAAACCAAGCGAUCUAUCCAUGGACAGGGUGAACGUUGGGUAAAACCAACUGGAGGCCCGAACCCACUGAUGUUGCAAUAUCACGGGAUGAUCUGUGGAUCGGAGUGAAAGGCUAAUCAAGCUUGGAGAUAGCUGGUUCUCCUCGAAAUAUAUUUAGGUAUAGCCUCAUGUAUGGUUCUUGGGGGUAGAGCACUGUUUCGGCUAGGGGGUUGUCAUGACUUACCAAACCGUUGCAAACUCCGAAUACCAAGAAACUCUUAGCAUGGGAGUCACACGGCGGGUGAUAAGGUCCGUCGUGGAAAGGGAAACAGCCCAGACCGCCAGCUAAGGUCCCUAAAUCAUAGUUAAGUGGUUAACGAUGUGAGAAGGCCCAAACAGCCAGGAGGUUGGCUUAGAAGCAGCCAUCCUUUAAAGAAAGCGUAAUAGCUCACUGGUCGAGUCGUCUUGCGCGGAAGAUUUAUCGGGGCUAAACUAUGUACCGAAGCUGCGGGAUUGAUCUUUAUGAUCAAUCGGUAGAGGAGCGUUCUGUAAGCCUGUGAAGGUGUGCUCGUAAGGCAUGCUGGAGGUAUCAGAAGUGAGAAUGCUGACAUGAGUAACGUUAAUACGGGUGAAAACCCCGUACGCCGAAAGUCUAAGGUUUCCUUGCGCAACGUNAAUCGGCGCAGGGUUAGUCGGCCCCUAAGGNGAGGCAGAAAUGCGUANUCGAUGGGAAACAGGUUAAUAUUCCUGUACUUUGUAUUGUUGCGAUGGGAUGACGGAGAAGGCUAGGUCAGCCAGGUGAUGGAUUCCUGGUUUAAGCCUGUAGGGAGAGUGCUCAGGAAAAUCCGAGCACUUAAUUCUGAGGGGUGAUGACGGUCACUGAAGGUUCGCCGGACGUGAGAAGUGAUUGAUGCCACGCUUCCUAGAAAAGUCUCUAAGCAUAAACAAUACAGAACCGUACUCUAAACCGACACUGGUAGACAAGUAGAGAAUACUAAGGCGUUGAGACAACUUGGGUGAAGGAACUCGGCAAAAUGAUACCGUAACUUCGGGAGAAGGUAUGCCCUUUUUGGUGAAAGAACUUGCUUCUGGAGCUGAGAAGGGUCGCAGAGAAUAGGUAGCUGAGACUGUUUAUCAAAAACACAGCACUCUGCAAACACGUAAGUGGACGUAUAGGGUGUGACACCUGCCCGGUGCCGGAAGGUUAAUUGAUGUGGUUAGCUUCGUGCGAAGCCAUUGAUCGAAGCCCCGGUGAACGGCGGCCGUAACAAUAACGGUCCUAAGGUAGCGAAAUUCCUUGUCGGGUAAGUUCCGAC